AUGGAUAACAUUCUCCAGAUUAACAAGUUCAUUUGUGCUGCUGCUCUUACUAUGUCUCGGGGCGUUGGGGUCGACAAGAUGGAGGUGCUUGCUGCAAGCGCUAUAAGGCCGGGCGGUGGAGGCGUACGCAUGUGCCACAGUUCAGGUAUGUGUGCACCCUCCCUAGGAAUCUCUUACUUGCAUCUGGUUGUUAGAGUUGGUCAUGCCGCUGAGGAGCUAUACUGUUUGUUGCGCCUGAAACAGCUGCAGCAGUAUGCAGAUGGACGCUUAGCAAACUUAUGUCUACACUAUGCAGAAAACACUAUGAAUUAUUCACCUCAAAUUUGGUCAGAAUUAGGCAUGCGUGACAUUCGCUAUUAG
rnacentral:rRNA from 1 species